CCUGCCCCUUGGAGGUGUUGCAGAUAUGGCUGCCAUGUCACAUGUGGAUCUGUAGGUGGCAGAGAGGAGAUAGCCUAUGUCUAGGCUCAGUGUUCUGACCUAUGGACUUCUGAAUGAUUAGUAACCUAACACA